UUGUCUCCUAUAGGCUUCGCCUGAAUCUGACCACCUUCGUGAAGGCCAUCAGGAAUUUCUGAGUGUUCCUGGAAGCGAUGGAGAAGCUCACGCUCUUCAGCAGCAAUUAAAAGAAAAAACUGAUAUUGUAAGGGUGGUUAUUCCAACUCCCAGUCUCAGUGGCCAAGCGCAAGAGGAAAGCCGUUGUCCAUUCAGAGAGACUCCUUUGCCCAGGGCAUCUCCAAGCUUAUUGGAAUGNGUCUUUCAGUGAUGAAUGUUGGGAGGAGAAGCAGGAUAUCAGUUCUCAUGCUCACGACUCACACCUUAAUAGGAGCUGGGGAACCUGGAGAGAUCCAGAUGUUGCAGGACUACAGAUCCUGUCAGGCCUGUGUUUUGAUCAUGCUAGGUGGUACAAAGUGUUAACUCCAAGCUGAACACCAAUUGGAGGACUCCCAGUUAGCCAUGCUUGUAUUAAAUGCGUAAUACUUCCUCAGUGAUAAGGAACCAGAAUCUUGAUACAUUCUUUUUUGGAGAGGAGCUAUGAUCUUUGUUGGAGGAAGCAAGGUUUUCUGGAAAUUGAUGGUGCUGCUGGCUUUUACAAUAUAAUUCUGUGCUUUUUAAUGGGGAGGAAUGCUGUUUAAUCCAUGGAAAGCAGGAGAAAUAUUUUAAAUAAAUGGGUCAAGUCUCUGAAGCCAAAGAUUAAUGACANGCCCAUUAAAGUGAAUCCAGUUGUAAUAUCUUCCCUUUCCAGAUCUCUUCCAUGANUUUGGAGAUCCAGAUUUUGAAGGAGAAGAAUGAGAACCUAAUGAAAGCUAAACUGAGGUUCCAGCAGCAAAUUCAAGAGAUCCGCAGACUUUCAACACAGCGACCUGGAAAAAGCAAUGCAGAGCUUCUGGUUCCUAAGCUCUCCAUGAACUGGGGACAGGAUUUGCAAAGGGCCGACAGCAGUGAAGCCUCUGCAUCUNUGCCCCAAAGUGGUGAACCCAUGAGCAGUGAAAACCUUCCUGUGGCCGCCCAGGGAGCCCAGCUUUGCUCCAGGGCUGAAAUUAAGCCCAGUUGCACCUCUUUGGAUACCAGCACUGUGCCUCCNACAUCAGCAAGGCCUGGAGCUCACAGAACCUCCCCCUCCACUGUGCCUCUUGAGUCAGACCCAGAACUCUGCAACACUGCUGCACCUCCCAUCAGGUUGGACACUGCAACCUCCUUGUCGGAGGGGAGGUGGCAGGCUGAGAGUGAAGGAGCCACAUGCAGUCCUCAGGGCUCGAUUCUUCUGUCGCCAAGGCCCUUUGGACCCCAAAGACCAUGGUCUCCCUUUAAAUUCAAAGGGAACCUUGAAGCAUCAGAAAACUGAGAAUCAGUGUCACUCUAGGAAAAAACCUCAUGCACAAUGGUUCUCUAAAAGGUUCAGCUGUGGGAUGGAGAAAGCACGUGUUCAGUUUCCCCCGUCAGCGCUGAGCAUGGACACCUGAACCAGCUGGCGAAACCCACAAUGUCAAAUGUGUUCCAC
rnacentral:lncRNA from 1 species